GGAAACAGGAAGUUAUAAAGGAAACAGGAAGUGGAGGGUUCUUUCUUUAAUCUUCAAGGCUGCCCACAGCAGGCAGCAACAGCAAUGUGCAGCUCCUGCAAUUGAAAGACAAUGUUUCGAUUUAGUUUGGACCAACAAAGACAAUCCUCAUAGCAAAGCAUGCACAGACAAAGUUACUGUGACACUGAAGAUGCAGAGGAUUAAAAUACCUCAUUCAGUACAGCUGCAGAUAGACGACAGAUACGGUAGCUACAUGCUAAUGCUAAGCUACAUGCUAAUGCUAAGC